GUGUUCCAAAGGGUAUUAUAAUCUCCAUUUUUUAAUAUGGGGCAAUAAAUUCAGAAAGCAUAAGUAACAAUAAGUUUGAAACAUAUAAUUGCUUUCUAUUUUAGCUCCUCACAAAAACUUUUCUAUGUGUUUAGGAGCAAAUGUGUAAUAUCACAUCUAUCAGGAUCACUUUCCCUUCUACACAAAUCAACACAGAAAUUUUUACUUUUCAAUUUUUAAAAUAAGAGUUUUCCCAUUUAAACUAGUGGUUCUCAUUCAGGGGCAGUUUUGUCCCACAGGGACAUCUGUCAAUGUCUGGAAACAUUUUUGGUCAUCACAAUUUAGGGAGGGGCUGCUGGCAUCCAGCUGAUAGAGGCCAGGAAGGCUACCCCCUCUAGUCACAGGAGCCCCACAGCAAAGAAUUACCUAGCCCCAAAUGCCAAUAACGCCAAGGUUGAGAAACCCUGAUUUAAACUGCAAACAAAGUUUUUAGAUGUAAGUUAUUCAGUGUUAGACUCUUUGGUGUGUGCUUGUGUGUAAUUUUAUUUAGAAUUAAUAGGAUUUCUUGAGUAGUAACAUUUCUUUGUUCUCUGCUUUGGUAAUUAAAACAGGGUAAAUCUCAGUUUAAUUCCAGGAGAGCUUGAUUCCCGACUAUUACACUGUUCAAAUUCACCAAAGAGGACAAGGGAGAAGACCAUAUGAAGACGAGGCAAAGACCGGAGUGAUGCUGCCAGAAGCCAAGGAGUACCUGGAGCCCCCAGAAGCAGGAAGAAGCAAGGAAGGAUUCUCCCUCUAGAACCGUCACAGAGAGCACAGCCCCACGGACACUUAUUCUGGACUUCUAGGCUUCCAGAACUGAGAGAGAAUAAACUUCUGUUGUUCUAAGCCACCCAGUUUGUGGUACUUUGUCCCAGUAUUCUUUGGAAAGAAAUAUAACGAUUUUUCUGCAAACAAGAGCUCAAGAGCAUAAACAGUAGUAAAGAAAAAAAGAAUGAAAGGAAGAAAGAAAAUUUAAAACUUGUUGACUAGAGCUUCUAUUCUCCAAAUAUUAAAACAAAGGGCGAACAAGAACACCAAAUCCCAUUGGAAAUCGCUCAAUCAGUAGGGAAAAAAAUUCUAUUAAUUUGUCAUUUAUGUGGUUGUUAUUUUUGUAAUUUAGUAUUAAUGAAAUAUGCUAAAUAUAUGAAGGGCUGCAAAAGACAGGAUAGGUGAUAGAGAAAGGAGCUGUUACAACUCUUCUUUACCAGAAUCAAAACAGCCAGAUAAUAAUUGAAAGAGGUGGAGUAAUUAAAGUAUUUCUCUCAGAGGGAAUCAAGGAAGGCUUCACAGAGGAGGUGACAUCUACGCUGGAUCUUGAAGCAUGAGUAGGAGUUUCCCAGGCAGACACUAAUGUGGAGUCAGGACAGUUGGUAUUUCACAGAAAACACAGCAUGUGCAAAGGUACAGAGAUGGAAAUGUAUGUCACAUACCUGGGAAUGAUAAGUGGUUCCAUGUGGUUGGUCCCUCAAGUGCACGGGUGAUAUCGGUAAGAAAUAAUUUAGGAAAAGUAGGUAGGGACUGGAUUGAGACGGUUUUUUUAUGCUUUACCUUGGCACUUGGCCUUAUUCCUGUGGACAAUGGAAAGCCAUUAAGGAGGGGUAGUGCCAUAAUUAGAUAUAUCAGACUUAUGGCAGACAAGGUAGCAGCCCUUCAACACUGGAACAUUGGAUGAGGUGCUGAAGAUGCUGGGACCAGUAGGGAUCUCGGAAGGAGGUGUUAGGUGUGGCCUUUCCCCUGCGUGGGGACUCCUGCCACCUAUGUUUGAAGACCCUGAAGCACCGCUGGCUGUGGUCAGAGAAGGAGUAAUUAGUUGAUGAUGCCCGUUGAGAAAGGAAUGUCGCUCGCCAUUCCAGUUCUAUAAGGAUCAAGCCAUCAGCCAGUCGCUGCAGUCGCUCAGGAUGACGCCGCACCCUGAGGGGAAUUCAGGGUGGAAAAAAACAGGAAGCGUUCUCUUCUUUGGAUAUACUGGCCUGUGAUAGGAUGCAUCUCUAUGGAAAAAUUUCAAUGACCCCAAGAUUCUUGCUCUUCUCAUACACAGAAAAGCACUAAUAUCAUUAACUUGAGAUGUCUGUUCUUUGUGAUCAGCAGUACUCUCUUGAUAUGCUCAAUUAAAAGUUUGGGGUUUUCUUCCCCUCCAGCGAAAAAUGCAUAGAUAUCCUGGCUCCUUCCUCUCCUCCUGGGAGCAGCUCCUCAGAGCUAUCUGAGAGGCUAUAGUCCUCAGGAAGAUCCCAGAAUAAAACUCAA